rnacentral:rRNA from 1 species
UACGUAUGGGGCAAGCGUUAUCCGGAUUUACUGGGUGUAAAGGGAGCGUAGGCGGCAGGGCAAGCCUGAUGUGAAAGCCCGGGGCUCAACCCCGGGACUGCAUUGGGAACUGCCCCGCUCGAGUGCCGGAGGGGCAGGCGGAAUUCCUAGUGUAGCGGUGAAAUGCGUAGAUAUCGAGAGGAACACUCGUGGCGAAGGCGGGUUCCUGGACAUUAACUGACGCUGAGGCACGAAGGCCAGGGGAGCGAAAGGG